CCUACGGGGUGCAGCAGUGAGGAAUAUUGGUCAAUGGGCGCGAGCCUGAACCAGCCAAGUAGCGUGAAGGAUGACUGCCCUACGGGUUGUAAACUUCUUUUAUAAAGGAAUAAAGUGAGGCACGUGUGCCUUUUUGUAUGUACUUUAUGAAUAAGGAUCGGCUAACUCCGUGCCAGCAGCCGCGGUAAUACGGAGGAUCCGAGCGUUAUCCGGAUUUAUUGGGUUUAAAGGGUGCGUAGAGGGGUUGUUAAGUCAGUGGUGAAAGGUUGCGGCUAAACCGUAAAAUUGCAGUUGAAACUGGCAGUCUUGAGUACAGUAGAGGUGGGCGGAAUUCGUGGUGUAGCGGUGAAAUGCUUAGAUAUCACGAAGAACUCCGAUUGCGAAGGCAGCUCACUGGACUGCAACUGACACUGAGGCUCGAAAGUGUGGGUAUCAAACAGGAUUAGAUACCCGUGUAGUC
rnacentral:rRNA from 1 species